CUCCUCCUAUUCGCACACAAUCUUACAUCUCAACAUACAAGAAGGAUAGUGACUAUCCAAAUGAUAUGGUCAGGGAGUGAUGUGAGAGGAUGAAGGAGCUGAUACCCACUGACUCGGCAUUAACGUCGAGCGUGACUGAAGGGACGGUACGGUGGGCACCGAAUGACGCAUAUGCCCAGGCGUACGAAAAUAAGCCUGAGUACGCUGGCAAGGUUCGAUAGGUUGGUCCGAAUGUUCUACCUGUGCGGGGCAAGCAUACACUUGUACUAUACACCGUCCCAAGCACGGUCACCGAACCCUGGGAACUCCACGGUCUCACAGAUGACUGAGAGGAUUAGAGAACUUGAAGCGGAGAGGGCACAACAAAGAGCACAGAUGGAUGAGAUGGCUAAAUGAAUUGAAGAACAAAAUGCUCAGAUGGCAGCAAAAGAUGUAAUAAUUGACGCCCGUUUUCGCCAGCUUGAAGCCAUGUCCGGGUCGACCUCCGGAUCCGCGCCCGAGGUGACUCAACAUAGGAGACAGAGGUACCGGCGAUAUUGAUGAGGAUCCGAUAACCUUGUACUUGCGCUACUAUGACUGAGGCCAUUGGAUGCCGAAUGCUUGAGAAAUCAGACUAUUAGCUAAUCCA